rnacentral:rRNA from 1 species
GAUGAACGCUAGCGGCAGGCUUAAUACAUGCAAGUCGAGGGGCAGCACAGAUAGCAAUAUUGGGUGGCGACCGGCAAACGGGUGCGGAACACGUACACAACCUUCCUUUUGGUGGGGGAUAGCCUUUGGAAACGGAGAUUAAUACCCCAUAAGAUAUUGUGACCGCAUGGUUAUGAUAUUAAAGAUUUAUUGCCAGAAGAUGGGUGUGCGUAUGAUUAGGUAGUUGGUGAGGUAAAGGCUCACCAAGCCGACGAUCAUUAACUGGUGUGAGAGCACGACCAGUCACACGGGCACUGAGACACGGGCCCGACUCCUACGGGAGGCAGCAGUAAGGAAUAUUGGUCAAUGGACGGAAGUCUGAACCAGCCAUGCCGCGUGGAGGAUGAAGGUCCUCUGGAUUGUAAACUUCUUUUAUGUGGGGCGAAAAAGGGCCAUUCUUGGUCAACUGACGGUACCAUAUGAAUAAGCACCGGCUAACUCCGUGCCAGCAGCCGCCGUAAAAC